CGGGACGUGGCGCAGUUUGGUAGCGCACCUGCUUUGGGAGCAGGGGGUCGCAGGUUCAAAUCCUGUUAUCCCGACCA
rnacentral:tRNA from 1 species